rnacentral:lncRNA from 1 species
UCCAAAUGUUAAUUAAAAGAAGGAGGAAGAAAGGGCAGACAUGGUUCACAGGGGUGAGCUGUCCCCGAGAUAUGCCACUGCAUGACAAAUGCCUUCUUUUUUGUUCUAAAGUAACUCUGGGAUAAAGCCAUUGCUUGGUAAUUGUGAUGAUUUUAGUCAUGGAAGCAGAGUUUAUAGUGAAAUAAUCACACACACGUAUAAAAACUGAAUGGCUUCGUUCAGUCUGAACCAUCUUACUAUUUCUUCUCAGUCCCCAUUCUUGUUACUUUUUCAUAUGUGGAAGUUGAUGAUGAGGGUAAAGAAGGCAAUCAUGGACAAUUAUAUAAAGCAGCUUAUAAAUUUUAGAAGGCAAAGAUCAAUGGACUCCCCCAAAGUAAUUUCUUUUGUCACUAAUCUCUUGUUAAUGUUUUCCACAUAAAAUACUGCUGGUAAAGAAUAUCUGUAUAGGAAGGGAGUGUUUGCUGGGUUGGAUGUUGUAGUUCUAUGUACAGAAAAGCAGAGAACUAAGGGAACUCUGAAUUCCACUUUUCGGGUAGUGGGAUGGAGAUAAACCAGCUUGAAAAACAGAGGAGAAUGCUGUAUUUCUGUAAUGAUAGCCCUUCUGCCCUGAUGGGCAUGUGAGAGAGUCCUUUCAGAGUGAGGACUUGAUUGUUCCAUCCUCUGACACCAGAAAUUGUGAGAAAAAUGAAACGUCAUGGGGUAAUUACAUUUCCCAGGCUAUAACAUUCCAAGGAGGUUCUGCAUGACCCAGCAGAAAAUCCCAGCAAAUUCACAGAAAAUUUCCACAACAACGGGACAGAAAGCUCAUUAGUAUGAGUAUUCAUCCCUUCCUCAAUCAAUGUGGCCUUCAACUAUUUUUGGACAAAUAAUGUACUUCAGCAAACUUGCUGCUGAAGAGAAUAAACUUGUGAUUCUAUUAAAUAGGUUUUUUGAAGGAAAAUUUUACAAAAUAACCAUUUUCUCUCAGAACAAUAACAUUGCAGAGUUGUAGAGGCCCCCUGAGGAGCAGUGAUGAAGAUAAGAAUUUCACAGUGAAAUGGACACAUGAAUAUGCCAGAGGGUGGAGGUUGCCCUGUGUUGCUGAGACUGUGGGAGGUGUUCAUUUGAAAACCUGGGGGUUAUGCAUAAUUUUAUGGGUGUCUAUAUAGCUAUGCCUAUGCAGAUAUGAUUGAGUGUGGCUUGCAAAAUUCCUUUUUCUUUCUUAGCUUUCUGAAAUCAAACUAAAUCUAAGAAGCACACUGAAAGACACAUUAUAAAAUAUGUUAAUGGAUUCAUUUUGUAUUUAUAAUAUAGUUGAAUGUGAAAAAGGCUAAAGAAAUCAAUUAAGAAAUGCUAACUCUAGGAAUUUUGAGAAUAUUUUAGAGCCCACAAAUUAUUUAGUCAUGGAAAUGUUGAAUUUAAGUUAGCUCUACAUCAAGGGCUAUCAUAUUAUAAAUAGCUAAGAUUUUGGUACUGAGGUACUUCACAUUAUAAAAUUUUGUAUUAUCCUAAAUCUACAUCUGAAAAUUUGCUACCUGCUAUUCUCUGUCCAAGUUUCUUUUAUUAUUCAAGACAAUACAUAAAAUGACAAGCCUGGGAAACAUAACAAGACCCUAUCUCUACAAUAAUAAAAAUAAAAAAAUUAGCCGGGCAUGGUGUCGUGCACCUAUAGUCCAAGCUGUUCAGGAGGCUGAGACAGCAGGGAUUGUUUGAGCCCAGGAGUUCAAGGUUAUAGUGAGCUAGGAUCAUGCCACUGCCCUACAGGCUGGGAAGCAGAGUGAGACCUGGUCUCUACCAAAAAAAAUAAAUAAAUGCUUGAGAAUGUUUAAGUUUUCACAUUGCUUAAAUUAUUGACAUGAAUAUUAAAAAUGAA